AGAUAUGGGGAGGGGCUUACAAAAUUCAUUUAAAUAAAGUUAGAAUAAUUAUGAAUAGGAUUAUUAGAUUUAUUUUGAGAUAACUAACUAAUGUUCCAUAUCAACAGCUUAUAAGUAUAGAAAAUAUUUUCAAACGUACUGUCAUAGUUAUAACACUGGACUAAAAAAAAUAUCAAUAAAAUAGCGCCAGCUCAUGAUGAAUAUUUUGGUACUAAGAGUUGCUUGAAUCGAGCAAUUCUCUGCAGAAAUUUAAAAAUAAACAUUACUAAUUUUUCUAGUUCUUAUUUAUUUAAGCGUUAUAUAUUAAGUUUAAUUUAGUCAUUAUUCACUAAGCUAUCUAUUUAACAUAUUUUCCGAUGUACAGGUGUUAGAUGUUUCACCCAUCGUAAUUAGCUGUAUUUGUCACUGACCAAAUUUUGUCUUAUUUGU